GGUGGCGUGGCCUAAUGGUAAGGCGUUGCUUUCCGGUUAUUUAUCUGGAGCUUGGAGUGUGGCAAAGACUGUGGGUUCGAGUCCCAUCGCCAUCG
rfam:Cladophialophora psammophila CBS 110553 aczJe-supercont1.15, whole genome shotgun sequence.